AUUGAACGCUGGCGGCAGGCCUAACACAUGCAAGUCGAGCGGAUGAAGGGAGCUUGCUCCUGGAUUCAGCGGCGGACGGGUGAGUAAUGCCUAGGAAUCUGCCUGGUAGUGGGGGAUAACGUCCGGAAACGGGCGCUAAUACCGCAUACGUCCUGAGGGAGAAAGUGGGGAUCUUCGGACCUCACGCUAUCAGAUGAGCCUAGGUCGGAUUAGCUAGUUGGUGGGGUAAAGGCCUACCAAGGCGACGAUCCGUAACUGGUCUGAGAGGAUGAUCAGUCACAUGGGACUGAGAAACGGGCCCGGAUCCUAAGGGAGGGAGGAGUGGGGAAUAUUGGACCAUGGGGGGAAGGCCGAUCCCAGCCAGGCGGGGGUGGGGAGAAAGGUCUUCGAAUGUUAAGCACUUUAAGUUGGGAGGAAGGGCAGUAAGUUAAUACCUUGCUGUUUUGACGUUACCAACAGAAUAAGCACCGGCUAACUUCGUG
rnacentral:rRNA from 1 species